rnacentral:rRNA from 1 species
AUUGCCCCAGUAACGGCGAGUGAAGCGGCAACAGCUCAAAUUUGAAAUCUGGCCUCGGCCCGAGUUGUAAUUUGCAGAGGAUGUUUCUGGCGCGGUGCCUUCUGAGUUCCCUGGAACGGGACGCCAUAGAGGGUGAGAGCCCCGUACGGUUGGACGCCUAGCCUGUGUGAAACUCCUUCGACGAGUCGAGUAGUUUGGGAAUGCUGCUCAAAAUGGGAGGUAUAUCUCUUCUAAAGCUAAAUAUUGGCCAGAGACCGAUAGCGCACAAGUAGAGUGAUCGAAAGAUGAAAAGCACCUUGAAAAGGGGGUUAAACAGCACGUGAAAUUGUUGAAAGGGAAGCGCCCAUGACCAGACUUGUGCCCGGCGGAUCACCCAGCGUUCUCGCUGGGGCACUCCGCCGGGUCCAGGCCAGCAUCGGUUUUCGCCGGGGGAUAAAGGCUCUGGGAACGUAGCUCCUCCGGGAGUGUUAUAGCCCUCUGCGUAAUACCCUGGCGGGGACCGAGGUACGCGCUCCGCAAGGAUGCUGGCGUAAUGGUCAUCAGCGACCCGUCUUGAAACACGGAUCAAGGAGUCGUCCAUUAGAGCGAGCGUUUGGGUGUCAAACCCGCACGCGUAAUGAAAGUGAACGUAGGUGAGAGCUUCGGCGCAUCAUCGACCGAUCCUGAUGUCCUCGGAUGGAUUUGAGUAUGAGUUUUACUGGACGGACCCGAAAGAUGGUGAACUAUGCCUGAAUAGGGUGAAGCCAGAGGAAACUCUGGUGGAGGCUCGCAGCGGUUCUGACGUGCAAAUCGAUCGUCAAAUUUGGGCAUGGGGGCGAAAGACUAAUCGAACCAUCUAGUAGCUGGUUACCGCCGAA